CUCCCUAGCUUGUUGCGCCGUCCGGUUCUGCCCCAGCCUUAGAUCUCAGCUCUGAGCUGCCCUCACAUCCCUGCAGAUCUUUUCUGGCCACACUGGUGGCCCGCGGGGUAUGGCUGCUUCCGUCUCGCGGCGUUGGCCUCCCUGACUGGCCGCCGGUGUAGGGCGCCGUGGGCGGGGUCCCUGGGGCGAGGCUGCCUGGCCUCCGCGGUUGGUUCGGCGGCCGCGGGGCUGCAGCUCCCGGCUCGCACUCCAUCAUCGACGGAUGACAGCGGGAACGGUGGGAGUUCAUUACAGGGACCAUGAAUUGUUGGAGGGUCAGGGCUCUAAGAGAAGCAGGAGGUCAC
rnacentral:lncRNA from 1 species